GCUGGGGUGGUCUAGUGGUAUGAUUCCGGGAAUUUGCCCUGAUGCCUCAUUGGAUCUCCUGCACGCGGAUGCCAGACACCAUAGAAACAAUGUGGAUGCCAGCCACAGCGACAGAGCUUCAGUGGGCGGCUAGGGUGCAGGCAACCGGAGACGCCAGUUCGAAUCUGGCUCCCGGCA